ACACCUCAACUCCCAUGGUUCGCCAUGGUGAGCUUGGACUUUGGGGGUUUUGCUGGCCUACGGUCAGCUCCUCUCAAAUGAAUUAGCCUGCCAGUGUUUGGUGGCAUCACGGGUGUGAUAAAUAUCUACGCUUGCGAUUGCCCACCAGGUAACCUUCAGCAAUGGGGGUUCACUGGGGCUCAUAGACGUCUCUCCUCAGUGAAGACAGCUUUGUGAAC
rnacentral:misc_RNA from 1 species